rnacentral:rRNA from 1 species
AUUGAACGCUGGCGGCAGGCCUAACACAUGCAAGUCGAACGGUAACAGGAAGACGCUUGCUUCUUUGCUGACGAGUGGCGGACGGGUGAGUCAUGUCUGGGAAACUGCCUGCUGGAGGGGGAUAACUACUGGAAACGGUAGCUAAUACCGCAUAACGUCGCAAGACCAAAAAGGGGGACCUUCGGGCCUCUUGCCAUCGGAUGUGCCCAGAUGUGAUUAGCUAGUAGGUGGGGUACCGGCUCACCUAGGCGACGAUCCCUAGCUGGUCUGAGAGGAUGACCAGCCACACUGGAACUGAGACACGGUCCAGACUCCGACGGUAGGCAGCAGUGGGGAAUAUUGCACAAUGGGGGAAAGCCUGAUGCAGCAAUGCCGCGUGUAUGAAGAAGGCCUUCGGGUUGUAAAGUACUUUAAGCGGGGAGGAAGGGAGUAAAGUUAAUACCUUUGCUCAUUGACGUUACCCGCAGAAGAAGCACCGGCUAACUCCGUG